rfam:Gonium pectorale scaffold00098, whole genome shotgun sequence.
AUUCAUGUAGCUCAAUUGGUAGAGCACUUGAUCAGGGUUGAUUGAUCGAGAUGGAUGUGGGUUCGAAUCCCACCAAGGGCC